ACUUAAGCAUAUCAAUAAGCGGGAGGGAAAAAGAAACCAACAGGGAUUGCCCUAGUAACGGCGAGUGAAGCGGCAACAGCUCAAAUUUGAAAUCUGGCCCCUUUGGGGUCCGAGUUGUAAUUUGCAGAGGGUGCUUUGGCGUUGGCGGCGGUCUAAGUUCCUUGGAACAGGACAUCGCAGAGGGUGAGAAUCCCGUAUGUGGUCGCAUGCCUUCGCCGUGUAAAGCCCCUUCGACGAGUCGAGUUGUUUGGGAAUGCAGCUCUAAAUGGGAGGUAAAUUUCUUCUAAAGCUAAAUACCGGCCAGAGACCGAUAGCGCACAAGUAGAGUGAUCGAAAGAUGAAAAGCACUUUGGAAAGAGAGUCAAACAGCACGUGAAAUUGUUGAAAGGGAAGCGCUUGCAGCCAGACUUGCCUGUAGUUGCUCACCCGGGCUCCUGCCCGGGGCACUCUUCUGCAGGCAGGCCAGCAUCAGUUUGGGCGGUCGGAUAAAGGGCUCUGACACGUACUUCCCCUCGGGGUUGACAUACAGGGGAGCCGCAAUGCGACCAGCCCGGACUGAGGUCCGCGCAUCUGCUAGGAUGCUGGCGUAAUGGCUGUAAGCGGCCCGUCUUGAAACACGGACCAAGGAGUCUAACAUCUAUGCGAGUGUUUGGGUGUCAAGCCCGAGCGCGCAAUGAAAGUGAACGGAGGUGGGAGCCCCUCGGGGUGCACCAUCGACCGAUCCUGAUGUCUUCGGAUGGAUUUGAGUAAGAGCAUAGCUGUUGGGACCCGAAAGAUGGUGAACUAUGCUUGAAUAGGGUGAAGCCAGAGGAAACUCUGGUGGAGGCUCGCAGCGGUUCUGACGUGCAAAUCGAUCGUCAAAUUUGGGCAUAGGGGCGAAAGACNUAAUCGAACUAUCUAGUAGCUGGUUCCUGCCGAAGUUCCCCCC
rnacentral:rRNA from 1 species